rnacentral:rRNA from 1 species
CCUACGGGCGGCAACAGUGGGGAAUAUUGGGCAAUGGGCGCAAGCCUGACCCAGCAACGCCGCGUGAAGGAAGAAGGCUUUCGGGUUGUAAACUUCCUUUCUCAGGGACGAAGCAAGUGACGGUACCUGAGGAAUAAGCCACGGCUAACUAUGUGCCAGCAGCCGCGGUAAUACGUAGGUGGCAAGCGUUAUCCGGAUUUACUGGGUGUAAAGGGCGUGUAGGCGGGACUGCAAGUCAGAUGUGAAAACCACGGGCUCAACCUGUGGCCUGCAUUUGAAACUGUAGUUCUUGAGUACUGGGGAGGCAGACGGAAUUCCUAGUGUAGCGGUGAAAUGCGUAGAUAUUAGGAAGAACCCCAGUUGCGAAGGCAGUCUGCUGGACAGCAACUGACGCUGAGGCGCGAAAGCGUGGGGAGCAAACAGGAUUAGAUACCCGUGUAGUC